rnacentral:rRNA from 1 species
CAAGUCGAGCGGACUUUUGGGAGCUUGCUCCCAAAAGUUAGCGGCGGACGGGUGAGUAACACGUGGGCAACCUGCCUAUAAGACUGGGAUAACUUCGGGAAACCGGAGCUAAUACCGGAUAAUUUCUUUCUUCACAUGGAGAGAGGUUGAAAGAUGGCUUCGGCUGUCACUUAUAGAUGGGCCCGCGGCGCAUUAGCUAGUUGGUGAGGUAACGGCUCACCAAGGCGACGAUGCGUAGCCGACCUGAGAGGGUGAUCGGCCACACUGGGACUGAGACACGGCCCAGACUCCUACGGGAGGCAGCAGUAGGGAAUCUUCCGCAAUGGACGAAAGUCUGACGGAGCAACGCCGCGUGAGUGAUGAAGGUCUUCGGAUCGUAAACUCUGUUAUCAGGGAAGAACAAGUAUCGGAGUAACUGCCGGUACCUUGACGGUACCUGACCAGAAAGCCACGGCUAACUACGUGCCAGCAGCCGCGGUAAUACGUAGGUGGCAAGCGUUGUCCGGAAUUAUUGGGCGUAAAGCGCGCGCAGGCGGUUUCUUAAGUCUGAUGUGAAAGCCCACGGCUCAACCGUGGAGGGUCAUUGGAAACUGGGGAACUUGAGUGCAGAAGAGAAGAGCGGAAUUCCACGUGUAGCGGUGAAAUGCGUAGAGAUGUGGAGGAACACCAGUGGCGAAGGCGGCUCUUUGGUCUGUAACUGACGCUGAGGCGCGAAAGCGUGGGGAGCGAACAGGAUUAGAUACCCUGGUAGUCCACGCCGUAAACGAUGAGUGCUAAGUGUUAGAGGGUUUCCGCCCUUUAGUGCUGCAGUAAACGCAUUAAGCACUCCGCCUGGGGAGUACGGCCGCAAGGCUGAAACUCAAAGGAAUUGACGGGGGCCCGCACAAGCGGUGGA